rnacentral:misc_RNA from 1 species
GAGAUUGUCCCCUCAUCAUAGCUUCUCUCAUUGUCCCUCUUUUUCUCCUUUUUUGAUUUCUCGGUAGCUGUUUGUGGUGAUUCUUGGCUCACAAUAUCUUCAGUGUUCUCCCUCUUUCUCUUCUUUUUUGAUUUCUUAUGUGGUGAUUCUUGGCUCACAGCUUUAAUGUUGGUUAACUGUGACCCUAAUUCCGACCCCAUAGUAGAUUCCUAAUUCUCAGCAACAAAACGAGUGACUUCAACUCAAAUAAUUGUAAGGAAACUAUUUCCUCUCUCACAAUCAAGCUCAGCAACACACGCACAAAAAUCACUUCUUUUAAAGCACGAAAUCAAACUCAAGUGAGCUAAGUAACUGC